AAUAUUGGACAAUGGGCGAAAGCCUGAUCCAGCCAUGCCUCGCGUGUGAAGAAGGCCUUCGGAUUGUUAAGCACAUUCAGUUGGGAGGAAGGGCUUUAGCUUAAUACCCUGAAGUUUUGACGUUACCGACAGACUAAGCACCGGCUAACAUAGUGCCGGCAGACGCGGUAACACGUAGGUUGCAAGCGUUAUUCGGAAUUACUGGGUGUAAAGCGAGGGUGGGCGGUUCGGAAAGAAAGAUGUAAAAUCCCAGGGCUAAACCUUGGAACUGCUUUCAUAACUGCUGAGCUAAAGUACGGUAGAGGGUAGUGGAAUUUCCUGUGUAGCGGUGAAAUGCGUAGAUAUAGGAAGGAACACAAGUGGCGAAGGCGACUACCUGGACUGAUACUGACACUGAGGUGCGAAAGCGUGGGGAGCAAAC
rnacentral:rRNA from 1 species